AUGAAAGCAGGCAACGACCUCCACGCCGACGAGGAAGACGGCGACCCGAUUGAGUCGAACGCCAGUUACCAAGUCUCCGUCAAGGUGAAACCGGACCAAGUCGGCGGGACCAGCGACAACGAGUUCGUUGACAAGACCUCCUCGAAGGAAUUCGAAGAGAACCUCUCGCUCGUGCCCACACACGCCAAGGACAACCUCGUCAAGGACGAGAAGAACGAGAUCGUGCCGCCUCCGCAGUCAAGCUACUCGGCCACCGGGUUCCAGUACUUCGAAAACGGCAACUACGGCCAAGCCUCCACCAUCUACGGCAAACAAACCGCCGAAUCCGUCAACAGCCCGCAGAACUACGAGAACACCCAAAAUGUGAGAGACGAUUACACUUCGGCCCCAGCAUCUUCCACCUCCACGACUGCGAGUGGCUACAACGGUGACUACCAGAGUAACAACACGAAUAAUCAGUGGAAUGUCUACAACGGUGACAUCGAUUACGGAAGCGACAGUCAAUCUAACGGUGACAGCUUCAAGGUGAAUGUAGGCAGCAGCCAAGGGGUCGACUACACAAGUAAUAAUUGGAACGUCCAUUACGGAUUUGGUUCCGGUUACGGAGGUAGCAGCGACAGUCAAAAUAACAGCAACAAUUACAACAGCGGGAAUUAUAACAAUGGCAACGUGAAUUCCAACGCAAAUAACAAUUACAAUAGCAAUUCCAACACGAAUAACAACUUUAACAAUAAUUAUGAUGGGAACACGGCUACCAGCAGUUCCACACAGAAUAAUUACGAGAACAAACCAGUUGAGAGCACCCAGAGUACAAAUACGAACGUUGAAAGCACCAAUGCUUACAAGAACACGCAGAAUAAUUAUGCGCCGUCCAGCAACGAUAACGUAUCAAGCGCAAGUGGUAGCGGAAGCUACAAGACAAUUAAAGAACAACCAAAACGACCCGAGUACAUUCGACCCGACAGCCAGAGUGAAGAAUCAAUAGACGUACCAAAUUACUACAACAAGAAUAACAAUAAUGUUCACUACGCAAAUCCACAAUCCCAAAGUUCGGGUAACCAGGUACAUCCCAGUCCGAGCAGUAGUCCUGCGAAGCCACAAAAUCAAGGGUCACACGCGCCUUCAAAUGCCUACGCUCACGUGACGUUUACCACGGACCAUAAAUUGGAGGAUCAUAAGAAAGGGCAGGAGUACAACGGUGGUAAUAUCAGAGGCGGUGCGUACAUUCCGAACGGACCGAGGCCCAACAUACCUUUCAAAGGAGCAUACGUGUUGAACCCGAAUCAAAGACCGAACAGACCGCCUUCAUACCCGCCAUCGAUGGGCAGGCCCAGUACCAAAAGAGACCGAACUACAUCAACGGGCAGAACCAACAAAGGUUAUCCAACAGGCCACCGAUGGGUGCGAUCGCGGCCGCUCAGAACCACCCCCGCCCGGUCAUCGUCAAGAAACCUAUCUACCGAGUCCCACAACAACAAAGACCGACCAACUACGGUCAACCUGGAACACGACCACCGCACGUCAAGAGCCAGCCUCCGAAGAUAA
rnacentral:lncRNA from 1 species